AUGAAGACCAUUCUCACAUCAUUACAGACUAUAAAAGACGAUAUGAAACAUCUAAUAAAUAUUAAUGUUAAUUAUUGUAAGAAUAGUAAAGAGAUUGAAAUUAUUAAUGCAGAAAUCGAAUGUUACAACACAAGAGAGGAGCUUCAAAACUUUAAUAAAGAGUUGGGGAACAUCGAGAAAAUGUCGAAUGUGGUUUCAGCAUUUCAAGUAAUUGGGGGGAAAGAUGCAUCAGAGACAGUAUAUAGAAUCAUGACCAAAAUUAUAUCCCAUUCUCUUUCGCUGUCCUAUAAUUGGUCAGGAAAAAAUAAGAAAUAUAACUUCUCCGAAUUAACAAAUGUUGUGAAAAUGAUAACUCUUGCUGUCAGAAAAAAUCCAUUUGCACGCAAUGCAUCAUCAAAGCAAAUUGAGGAUAUAAUAAAAAUUUGGCUUAGAAACGCUGGGGACAGAAACGGCGGCAGAA